AACGAACGCUGGCGGCAGGCCUAACACAUGCAAGUCGAGCGAGGUCUUCGGACCUAGCGGCGGACGGGUGAGUAACGCGUGGGAACGUGCCUCUUGCUACGGAAUAGCCUCGGGAAACUGGGAGUAAUACCGUAUGUGCCCUACGGGGGAAAGAUUUUAUCGGCAAGAGAUCGGCCCGCGUUGGAUUAGGUAGUUGGUGAGGUAACGGCUCACCAAGCCGACGAUCCAUAGCUGGUUUGAGAGGAUGAUCAGCCACACUGGGACUGAGACACGGCCCAG
rnacentral:rRNA from 1 species